rnacentral:SRP_RNA from 1 species
CGUCGCCCUUUGGGUCCCCCUCUGAACCCUCGUCCUUGGCGGCCGAACGGAGGGCGGCUCGGAGGCUGAAGCGUUUUUCGGUGUCGGUGGCCGCGGGCAAGACGGCGGCUGCGCACGCGAGAAGGGAG